UACCUGAAGCUGCGGGAGCGAAUGCAGAUACAGAAGGAGAUGGAGCGGCUGCGCUUCCUACUGUCGGAUCAGUCAUUGCUGCUGCUUCCUGAGUACCAUCAGCGAGUAGAGGUGCUCCGAACCCUGGGUUAUGUGGACGAGGCGGGCACUGUGAAGCUGGCAGGGCGGGUGGCUUGUGCCAUGAGCAGCCAUGAGUUGCUCCUCACUGAGCUCAUGUUUGACAAUGCACUGAGCACCCUGCGGCCUGAGGAGAUUGCUGCCUUGCUCUCUGGCCUGGUCUGCCAGAGCCCUGGGGACGCUGGGGAUCAGCUCCCAAACACCCUCAAGCAGGGAAUAGAACGUGUCCGGGCUGUGGCCAAGCGGAUUGCCCUUCUCCGAGUUGGCAGGGCUCUCAGGGACCCCUGAGGGCCUGGUGGUCCGCUGCAUUCAGCGCCUGGCUGAGAUGUGUCGCUCACUGCGGGGGGCAGCCCGCCUGGUAGGAGAGCCUGUGCUGGGUGCCAAGAUGGAGACAGCGGCUACCUUGCUACGGCGGGACAUCGUAUUUGCGGCCAGCCUCUACACCCAGUGAAUGCCCCAUGUAAAAACAUGAUGAUAAAACAGCAAA
rnacentral:misc_RNA from 1 species